AAAUUUUCUAAUGUAAUAUUCCUAUUUAUUCGAAUAAAUCUUCCGCCAACCAACAAUAGGGCGUAUUCAUCUUCAAUCUGGUGCAGUGGACCCCGGUCAAGUACCUCGGCUACUCGUAUCCCCUGUGGGCGCACGCUUUCGGUUGGUUCACCGCCCUGUCCUCGAUGUUGUGCAUCCCCGGUUACAUGAUCUGGCUCUGGAGAAACACCCCCGGCGAUCGAGCUAACAAAAUCCGACUGAUCGUCAGAAUCGAGGACAGCGUGUCCGAGCUGCGAGAGAAGAUGCAAGCCGGCCAAGAGAAGGGCAUGGAGCUGUAAGGCUCUUUAACUCCCUUCCCACCGCCCACCAACACAACCUUAGGUCUGCGAUCCGACUAUUAAUAGGUUAACAACCCAAAAAAAACGACGACCCUAUUUCAGAUUCAUGCGAAUCGAAGCAAGCGAAGCGAGAGAUUGGAUUCACAGACGAUUGCAAUACUUCCCCCAUUUCACGCACAUGCUUACUCACACUCACACACACAUAUAUAUACAGAUACACACACAUACUAUAACCUGUUUUUCAUCCAGUUUCGGUCCAUAGCGUAAUGUGACGAGUUAAUUAUGGAUAUUAUUGAAGUAUUUU